rnacentral:piRNA from 1 species
GUAAAGGAGCAAACGAAGGGGAAAGUAAA